AGAUCUCAGUGUGCUCCCAGCUGUGUGUCAGUUAUUAGGUCCAUCAGGCCUCAGUGGGGGACUGCAGUGUGUUGAACACCAGCUGGACAAUAGCAGCCAAGGCCUUGCCAUGAAGUCACCCAUGGGGAUCAGCCUCAGUGAGGCCGCUUCUUCCUGUAAAUAUUUCCUUUCCUGAAGUGCUUUGAAGGAGAAGAGGCAUUUCUCUGAGACCAGUGGGUCAGCAGGUAGCACCAAGUGAAGACUGGAGAGACAAAGUUUAUCUCCGCUCCAGAGAAAACUGUUAAAUAAGGUGUUGUGCAGGGGGACAAGCACCACAAGAGGAUGCAGAGAGCACAUGGAGGGAGAAAGGAAGCAAAGAAACAGCAGCGAGCAUAGGAUUUCACUAGGUUUGGCUCAAGUCCUCAGCAGCAUUGCUCUUGCUUAAUGUGAAACUUGGAAGCAACCCUGGGUAAACAAGCCAGGCUAAUAUUCUACAGGCUGAUCAUAACUACUUGAAGGAGAAGAGCACCUGUCUUGGCAGUAUAACCCAACCUGAAGCUCAGAGACUGAGGAACAAUUCCACCCACUAACACGGAAUUUGAAACAGCAGCCUCCACAGCCUCUACUUUCAUGUUCACCACUUAUCUGAUGAUAGAUUUUCAGUUUGUGAUUUCUCCAUCUCUGGUGUCUCCAAAACCACAUUGAUUGCCAGAAACUAUUUAUGUUGUUGUUGUUGUUUUUACAUCUCAUAUCCUAGUAAUUAAUCCUAAUGAGAUAUAGUUCCAAUUGUUUACUUAGAUUUUUGGACUUAGCAACUCUUAAGCU
rnacentral:lncRNA from 7 species